GACCUCGUAGCUCAGUUGGCAGAGCAUUGGACUAGUGUCCCAAAGGUCGCACGGGCUCGAUUCCCAUCGUGGUCA